AUUGAACGCUAGCGGGAUGCCUUACACAUGCAAGUCGAACGGAGUGGCGAACGGGUGCGUAAUGUAACGGACCGGGCCCAGUAGCGGGGGAUAACUACGCGAACGGGAAGCUAAACCCGAUACCUCUUGGAGCGGCCGAUACGGGAUGAGGUAGUUGGGGGGGUAACGGCUAACCAAGGCGACGAUCCGUAGCUGGUUUGAGAGGACGACCAGCCACACUGGAACUGAGACACGGCCCAGACUCCUACGGGAGGCAGCAGUGGGGAAUAUUGGACAAUGGGGGAAACCCUGAUCCAGCCAUCCCGCGUGUGCGAAGAAGGCCUUCGGGUUGUAAAGCACUUUUGGCAGGAAAGCGGUACCUGCAGAAUAAGCACCGGCUAACUACGUGCCAGCCGCCGCGGUAAUUC
rnacentral:rRNA from 1 species